AUGAAGAAAAUUAAUGUCGACAAAUAUUUGAUAUCAGCAUUGGUCGAGCGUUGGCGGCCUGAGACAAAUAGUUUUCAUUUACCUGUAGGAGAAAUGACCGUUACACUACAAGAUGUGAGUUGUUUGUGGGGGUUGCCUAUCCAUGGUAAACCGAUUAUUGGCAAAGCUGAUGCUACAUGGUCUGGAUUGAUUGAGAGGUUGCUUGGGAUUCCCAUAGAUGAACAACACAUGAAGCAAAAGAGAAAGCGGGGAGAUGAUGACAAUAUUGCUGUGAAGAAUUCACAAUACUCUUUAAAUUUAGGUAAAUUGCGAGAGCGCUUCCAGGUGGUGCCGGAUAAUCCAGUGGAUCGAGAGAUUCAUUGGCAUGCUCGAGCAAUUGUUCUAGAAAUCCUUGGCUCCACGGUGUUCACUGAUACAUCUGGAGAUGGAGUGCCAACUAUGUAUCUUCAGUGA
rnacentral:rRNA from 1 species